rnacentral:lncRNA from 1 species
UUUUCCACUCAUGGAAAAAAAAUAUAAAAAUUUAUAGUUACAGUACUUUCUGCACUUAGCCGCCUGUUUUGGUAUAAGUGGAGGAAUGAAACUCAAGUUUCAUUACUUUCGAUAUUUAUUUUGGUGUAAGUAAAAAAUAUAGUGUAACUCAAGUUACGUUAGAUCUCCACUUCACUUACUAUUACUAACUUUUCCCCUCUAAAGUGCAGAACUCAACUUCUGCCACACUCAAAUUUUUUUUAAAAAAAUUUAUUAAAUAGUAAAAUCUAAACUCUAUUUCCUUUAUAAUGAAUUAAAAUUACCUUUAAAUAAUAAAAAAUUUAAUUAUUUAAUAGGUUAAAUUUUAUUGCGGUAAGUUACCAUUAUAUUCAGAAUAUAACGAGAUCCAUGUAUUUACAUCAAAACAAAUAAUAAAAUUUAAAAAACUAAUUUCACCGGCACUAAAUUAUAUCAAAGUAAAAAAAAAAAUAAUAAAAUUUAAUUUUCAAACGAUACAAGUUAUAUUAAAAUAAAUAAUAAAAAAAUAAUUAUACUUUAAAAGAUUCAAAUGUCACUGCACUUGAAUUAUACUGGAUCUACAGAUUCCUCG